rnacentral:rRNA from 1 species
UACGGAGGGGGCUAGCGUUGUUCGGAAUUACUGGGCGUAAAGCGCACGUAGGCGGCUUUUCAAGUCCCAUGUGAAAGCCCACGGCUUAACCGUGGAAGUGCAUGGGAAACUGGAAGCUUGAGUACUUAAGAGGAUCGCGGAAUUCCCGGAUGUAGAGGUGAAAUUCGUAGAUAUCGGGAGGAACACCAGUGGCGAAGGCGGCGAUCUGGGAAGAUACUGACGCUGAGGUGCGAAAGCGUGGGAGCAACAGG